rnacentral:rRNA from 1 species
UGGGGAAUAUUGCGCAAUGGGGGAAACCCUGACGCAGCAACGCCGCGUGAAGGACGAAGGUUUUCGGAUUGUAAACUUCAGCAAGCAGGGAAGAAGAAAGUGACAGUACCUGAACAAAAGCCACGGCUAACUACGUGCCAGCAGCCGCGGUAAUACGUAGGUGGCGAGCGUUGUCCGGAUUUACUGGGUGUAAAGGGCGCGUAGGCGGGUAAAUAAGUCAGAGGUGAAAUACCGGAGCUCAACUCCGGGGCUGCCUUUGAAACUGUAUAUCUUGAGUGCGGGAGAGGAAAGUGGAAUUCCUAGUGUAGCGGUGAAAUGCGUAGAGAUUAGGAGGAACACCAGUGGCGAAGGCGACUUUCUGGACCGUAACUGACGCUGAGGCGCGAAAGCGUGGGGAGCAAACA